UACAGAGGGGGCUAGCGUUGUUCGGAAUUACUGGGCGUAAAGGGCGCGUAGGCGGCCCGCUAAGUCGAACGUGAAAUCCCCGGGCUCAACCCGGGAACUGCGUCCGGUACUGGCAGGCUUGAAUCCGGGAGAGGGAUGUGGAAUUCCAGGUGUAGCGGUGAAAUGCGUAGAUAUCAGGAGGAACACCGGUGGCGAAGGCGGGUCUCUGGGCAACAACUGACGCUGAGGAGCGAAAGCGUGGGGAGCGAACAGG
rnacentral:rRNA from 1 species